rnacentral:rRNA from 1 species
GUGCCAGCAGCCGCGGUAAUACGGAAGGUGCAAGCGUUGUCCGGAUUGACUGGGUGUAAAGGGCGCGUAGGCGGAGAUGUGUGUCGGGAGUGAAAUCGUGCGGCUUAACCGUACAAUUGCUUUCGAAACUACAUCCCUUGAGUACAGAAGGGGUAGAUGGAAUACCUGGUGUAGCGGUGGAAUGCGUAGAUAUCAGGUAGAACACCGGAGGCGAAGGCGGUCUACUGGUCUGUAACUGACGCUGAGGCGCGAAAGUGUGGGGAGCAAACAGGAUUAGAAACCCCUGUAGUCC